CCCACGGGUGGCAGCAGUGGCGGAUAUUGCACAAUGGGGGAAACCCUGAUGCAGCGACGCCGCGUGUGGGAAGACGGUCCUCUGGAUUGUAAACCACUGUCCCCAGGGACGAAGAUGACGGUACCUGGGGAGAAAGCUCCGGCUAACUACGUGCCAGCAGCCGCGGCAAUACGUAGGGAGCGAGCGUUGUCCGGAAUUACUGGGUGUAAGGGGAGCGUAGGCGGGACUGCAAGUUGGGUGUCAAAUCUACCGGCUCAACCGGUAGCCGCACUCAAAACUGGAGUUCUUGAGUGAAGUAGAGGCAGGCGGAAUUCCUAGUGUAGCGGUGAAAUGCGUAGAUAUUAGGAGGAACACCAGUGGCGAAGGCGGCCUGCUGGGCUUUUACUGACGCUGAGGCUCGAAAGUGUGGGGAGCAAACAGGAUUAGAUACCCCUGUAGUC
rnacentral:rRNA from 1 species